rnacentral:rRNA from 1 species
GAUGAACGCUGGCGGCGUGCUUAACACAUGCAAGUCGAACGGUGAAGGCGGAGCUUGCUCUGCUGGAUCAGUUGCGAACGGGUGAGGAACACGUGAGCAAUCUGCCCCUGACUCUGGGAUAAGCGCUGGAAACGGCGUCUAAUACUGGAUACGAGCUGCGACGGCAUCUUCAGCAGCUGGAAAGAACUUCGGUAAGGGAUGGGCUCGCGGCCUAUCAGCUUGUGGGUGAGGUAACGGCUCACCAAGGCGUCGACGGGUAGCCGGCCUGAGAGGGUGACCGGCCACACUGGGACUGAGACACGGCCCAGACUCAUACGGGAGGCAGCAGUGGGGAAUAUUGCACAAUGGGCGAAAGCCUGAUGCAGCAACGCCGCGUGAGGGACGACGGCCUUCGGGUUGUAAACCUCUUUUAGCAGGGAAGAAGCGAAAGUGACGGUACCUGCAGAAAAAGCGCCGGCUAACUACGUG